AGAGCGAACGCUGGCGGCAGGCCUAAUACAUGCAAGUCGAGCGGUCCCUUCGGGGGCAGCGGCGGACGGGUGAGUAACGCGUGGGAACGUGCCCUUUGGUACGGAACAACUGAGGGAAACUUCAGCUAAUACCGUAUGUGCCCUUCGGGGGAAAGAUUUAUCGCCAUUGGAGCGGCCCGCGUUGGAUUAGGUAGUUGGUGAGGUAAAGGCUCACCAAGCCUACGAUCCAUAGCUGGUCUGAGAGGAUGACCAGCCACACUGGGACUGAGACACGGCCCAGACUCCUACGGGAGGCAGCAGUAGGGAAUCUUGCGCAAUGGGCGAAAGCCUGACGCAGCCAUGCCGCGUGAAUGAUGAAGGUCUUAGGAUUGUAAAAUUCUUUCACCGGGACGAUAAUGACGGUACCGGAGAAGAAGCCCCGGCUAACUUCGUGCCAGCAGCCGC
rnacentral:rRNA from 1 species